rnacentral:rRNA from 1 species
ACGAACGCUGGCGGCGUGCUUAACCCAUGCAAGUCGCACGGAAAGGCCCUGCUUUUGUGGGGUGCUCGAGCGGCGAACGGGUGAGUAACACGUGAGUAACCUGCCCUUGACUUUGGGAUAACUUCAGGAAACUGGGGCUAAUACCGGAUAGGAGCUCCUGCUGCAUGGUGGGGGUUGGAAAGUUUCGGCGGUUGGGGAUGGACUCGCGGCUUAUCAGCUUGUUGGUGGGGUAGUGGCUUACCAAGGCUUUGACGGGUAGCCGGCCUGAGAGGGUGACCGGCCACAUUGGGACUGAGAUACGGCCCAGACUCCUACGGGAGGCAGCAGUGGGGAAUAUUGCACAAUGGGCGGAAGCCUGAUGCAGCAACGCCGCGUGCGGGAUGACGGCCUUCGGGUUGUAAACCGCUUUCGCCUGUGACGAAGCGUGAGUGACGGUAAUGGGUAAAGAAGCACCGGCUAACUACGUG